rnacentral:rRNA from 1 species
GCAUGUCUAAGUAUAAGCUUUUAUACAGCGAAACUGCGAAUAGCUCUUUAAAACAAUUAUAGCCUAUGUUGGUGUAAUUACUACACGGAUACCUGUAGUAAUUCUGGAGCUAAUACGUGCGUCGACACCCUUUAGGGUGGCACUUAUUUGUAAGAUACCCACCUGUGCUUGCAUAGUUGUUUGGUGAUCCAUAAUAAUGUCGCAGAUCGCAUGGCUUCUGCCAGCGAUAUCCUACUUGAGUUUUUGACUUAUCAGCUAAACAGUCGGGUAUUGUCCUACCGUGGCAUUGACGAGUAACGGGGAAUAAGGGUUUGAUUCCGGAGAGGGAGCCUGAGAGACAGCUACCACUUCUAUGGAAGGCAGCAGGCGCGCAAAUUGUCCAAUCCUAAUGCUUUAGGGAGACAGUGAAAAGAAAUAUCAAUGCAGGGCUUUUAGCUUUGCAAUUGGAAUUAGUUUAAGCUAAACUUUUUUAUAAACAUUAAUUGGAGGGCAAGUCUGGUGCCAGCAGCCGCGGUAAUUCCAGCUCCAAUAGCGUAUAUUAAAGUUGUUGCAGUUAAAACGUUCGUAGUUGAAAUUCUGCUGAUAAAAGUGGGUUGGCUCAUAGAGUAUUUGCUCACUAUUAUUGGCAUUAAUUCGAUGCAUCCAGGGGGUCAAACCUUUGGGUAGUCGGAUUUGUUACUUUGAGGAAAUUAGAGUGUUCCAAGCAGGCGCAACGCCUUGAAUACUCAAGCAUGGAAUAACAAGUGAAGGUAUAGAUCCUUCCUGUGGGUUAGAGGAUCUACGCAAUGAUUAAGAGGAGCAGUCGGGGGUAUUCGUACUUAGUCGUCAGAGGUGAAAUUCUUGGAUUGACUGAAGACGAACUACUGCGAAGGCAUCUGCCAUGGAUGCUUUCAUUAGUCAAGAACGAAAGCUAAGGGAUCGAAGAUGAUCAGAUACCAUCGUAGUCUUAACUGUAAACGAUGCCGACUAGAGAUCGGAGAUAGUCAGUCGAAUGACUUUUUCGGUACCUUCUGAAAAAUCAAAGUCUUUGGGUUCUGGGGGAAGUAUGAUCGCAAGGUUGAAACUUAAAGGAAUUGACGGAAGGGCACCACCAGGAGUGGAGCCUGCGGCUUAAUUUGACUCAACACGGGAAAACUUACCAGGUCCAGACAUAGGAAUGAUUGACAGAUUGAUAGCUCUUUCUUGAUUCUAUGGGUGGUGGUGCAUGGCCGUUCUUAGUUGGUGGAGUGAUUUGUCUGGUUAAUUCCGAUAACGAACGAGACUUUGACCUGCUAAAUAGACGCUGUAGCUUCGGCCGUAGUUGUACUUCUUAGAGGAACAUUGCGUGUAUAACGCAAGGAAGUUCAAAGCAAUAACAGGUCUGUGAUGCCCUUAGAUGUUCUGGGCCGCACGCGCGCUACAAUAACACAUUCGACGAGUUUCCCCUGACUUGGCGAAGUUGGGUAAUCUCAUGAAUGUGUGUUGUGAUAGGGAUUGCCCAUUGUAAUUAUUGAUCAUGAACGAGGAAUUCCUAGUAAGCGUAAGUCAUCAGCUUGCGCUGGUUAUGUCCCUGCCCUUUGUACACACCGCCCGUCGCAUCAAUCGAUUGGAUGAUUCGGUGAAUGGUUCGGAUUGGGUUACAGCUAGCAAUAGUUGAGGCCUAAGAAGUUUUGUGAACCCAACCAUCUAGAGAA